AGGGCACCACCAGGAGUGGAGCCUGCGGCUUAAUUUGACUCAACACGGGGAAACCCACCCGGCCCGGACACCGGAAGGAUUGACAGAUUGAUAGCUCUUUCUUGAUUCGGUGGAUGGUGGUGCAUGGCCGUUCUUAGUUGGUGGAGCGAUCUGUCUGGUUAAUUCCGAUAACGAACGAGACUCUAGCCUAUUAAAUAGACGUCGGGUUCUCUGCACUCGACGGUCUUCUUAGAGGGACAAGGUGCUUUUAGCACCGCGAAACAGAGCAAUAACAGGUCUGUGAUGCCCUUAGAUGUCCGGGGCCGCACGCGCGCUACACUGAAGGAAGCAGCGUGUAACAACCUUGUUCUAACGAACUGGGUAACCCGUGGAACUUCCUUCAUGAUUGGGAUAGGGGUUUGCAAUUGUGCCCCUUGAACGAGGAAUUCCCAGUAAACACUAGUCAUCAGCUAGUGCUGAUUACGUCCCUGCCCUUUGUACACACCGCCCGUCGCUACUACCGAUUGAAUGGUUUAGUGA
rnacentral:rRNA from 1 species